rnacentral:rRNA from 1 species
UCUCGCAUCGAUGAAGAACGCAGCGAAAUGCGAUAAGUAAUGUGAAUUGCAGAAUUCAGUGAAUCAUCGAAUCUUUGAACGCACCUUGCACCCUUCGGCAUUCCGAAGGGUAUGCUCGUUUGAGUGUCAUUGUACUCUCACUCUCCCGAAACUUUUGGAUCGGGAGUGGUGGACUUGGGUGCUGCUGCUUAACUGUGGCUCGCCUCAAAUGAAGUAGUGCAACUCUCGGUUGGACAUAGUACGGCGUGAUAAGUAUCUUCGCCGGCGCCUCAUUCGAGGGUGGCCGAUCGGGAGCUCUGUGCUUCAAACCGUCUUCGGACAAUAUCUGACAACUUGACCUCAAAUCGAGUAGGACUACCCGCUGAACUUAAGCAUAUCAAUAAGCGGAGGAAAAGAAACU